UACGUAGGGAGCAAGCGUUGUCCGGAAUCAUUGGGCGUAAAGCGCGCGUAGGCGGCCCCGUAAGUCCGCUGUGAAAGUCAAAGGCUCAACCUUUGAAAGCCGGUGGAUACUGUGGGGCUAGAGUCCGGAAGAGGCGAGUGGAAUUCCUGGUGUAGCGGUGGAAUGCGCAGAUAUCAGGAGGAACACCGAUGGCGAAGGCAGCUCGCUGGGACGGUACUGACGCUGAGGCGCGAAAGCGUGGGGAGCGAACAGG
rnacentral:rRNA from 1 species